GACUUGUAUAUGUUGAUGUUGCGUUACUUGGAACACUAUAGACAAGUUUAAUAUUAGUUAAAAACUUAAAUGAGUAUUGCUAACAACACUUUUUUUAAGUGGUGUUUUCAGUGGCAGACGAGUGAGUAACACGUAAGAACCUGCCCAUAUGAGGGGGACAACAGCUGGAAACAAUUGCUAAUACCCCAUAGGUUGAGGAGCAAAAGGAGGAAUCUGCCCACGGAGGGGCUCACGUUUGAUUAGCUAGUUGAUGAGGUAAUAGCUUACCAAGGCGAUGAUCAGUAGCUAGUUCGAGAGGGUGAUCAACCACACUGGGACGAGAGGAUAAUCAAUAGUUCGCUUCUUUACUGAGGAUGAUCGAUAAUGGGAAAAAGCCUGACAGAGCAAUGUCGCGUGGAGGAAGAAGGCAUACGGGUCGUCAACUUCUUUCCCCGGAGAAGAAACAAUGACGAUAUAUAGGAAAUAAGCAAUGACUAACUCUAUGCAAGCAGUCGCGAUAAGAUAGAGGAUGCAAACAUUAUCCAUAAAUAAUUGGGCGUAAAGCGUUUGUAGGUUGUCUUUUAAGUUCGCUGUCAAAUCCAAAGGCUCAACCCUGAACAUGUGGUGGAAAUUAUCAAGCUAAAGUAAGGUAAGGGUAGAGGGAAUUUCCGGUGGAGCAAUGACAUGCGUAUAGAUUGGAAGGAACAUCAACGACGAAAACACUUUGUUGGCUCGACACUGACGCCGAGAAACAAAAGCUAGGGGAGCGAAUAGGAUUAGAGACCCCAAUAGUCCUAGCCGCAAACGAUAGAUACUAAGUGAUUGUGUGUAUCGACCCGUGCAGUGUUGUAGCUAACACGUUAAGUAUCUCGCCUGGGGGGUACGUACACACUGCCCAUCACACUAUGGGAAAUGGACAUGCCCGAAGUCAUUACCUUAACCGCAAGGAGGGGAAUGUCGAAGGCAGGGCUAGUGACUGGAGUGAAGUCGUAACAAGGUAGCCGUACUAGAAGGUGCGACUGGAUCACCUCCUUU
rnacentral:rRNA from 1 species